AUUAAAUAAAUACAUUAAUAAUUGCAAUGAGACAUAAAUAUCUGAUAGUUCGUAUAUGAAACAUGCAUAUAAUGUUAAUGUUGUGGUGUCUCUGUGGUGCUCUGUCUUCCAUCAGAACCAGCUCUAGUAUUGGAUAAGAGUUGUCUCCAAGUAUCUGGGGUGCCAACACCUGUCAUCAGGACUCCCAGCAGUUCUCAUGCACCUCCUGGAAGUAUCUCGUGAAGUGCUUCAGGGCUGUCUGUUGGGGCAGAACUUGAGAAAUCUCCAGACCACAAAUUGAAACCACGGAUAAACAGAGUUAUGGGCAAUAACUUACUUGUGCCAACAAAUUGCUUCCUUCAGACACAAACUUCAUGGUGCUUUAUAACACUCAACUUGUUUGUUUGCCAAAAGAACUGUAGGAAAUGAAGAAAAAGAGAUAAUGACCCACCUCUUUGUUUGGUAGAGCCACUAGAGCCCUGAGGUUUGCUUGAAAUUCUUCCACUGCACCUCCCAUUG